UACAGAGGUCUCAAGCGUUGUUCGGAUUCAUUGGGCGUAAAGCGCGCGUAGGCGGCUUUGUAAGUUAGAGGUGAAAGCCCGGAGCUUAACUCCGGAACUGCCUUUAAGACUGCAUCGCUAGAAUUGUGGAGAGGUAAGUGGAAUUCCGAGUGUAGAGGUGAAAUUCGUAGAUAUUCGGAAGAACACCAGUGGCGAAGGCGACUUACUGGACACAUAUUGACGCUGAGGUGCGAAAGCGUGGGGAGCAAACAGG
rnacentral:rRNA from 1 species